AACAGGGUCUCUCUAUGCUGUUUAGGCUGGACUUGAACUCACUUUGUAUCCCAGGCUGGCCUCAAAAUCACAGUGAUCUUCCUGCCUCAACCUCUGGAGUGCUGGGAUUACAGACAUGCACCACCACACCUGACCUGAACAAAACUUUUAAAGAAUGCUUUAGAUAUGCAGACAAGGGAAAUGCACCAAAUGUUCGUCUCACUGUCCUAAGAAGAGUUAAUGAGGAGUUGGUCAGCCGUACUAACUACCUGGGAGGAUUACCAGUUUGCACAGAAAAUUCUGCUAAGUAAAAAAUAAAUUGUCUUCACUGAG
rnacentral:lncRNA from 1 species